UAGAUAAUUGAUGACAUGAAGAUGACAUGAAGCUUCCACAUUAUGGAUCCAAAUUUAGCAGCUGGUGUAGAGGGGAAGCAUCACAGUCAAGGCCACCAGUGAUCCUAUCCUACAAAUGCAGUAUGGGAUCUUUUUCUUCCCGUUUGUUGGAACUUUGCACCAUUGCAGCUCGUGGCCGUAUUUGUUUCGACACGGACUUUUGUAUAAUAUUUGGUAGAAUGUUGUGAUAAUUAGAUAGGAUUUUAGAUUCAGGAUUCCUUGGUGUUAUACAAAGAUAUUCUGUAAUUCCAACUUCUUGAAGUCAUUAUUGGUUCACAUGAAAUCUCAUUCUAUGUUGUGGUA